CAACCUUAUUAUACCAUACUGAAUUAACUAUUGUUUUAUUUUUUUUAAUCUUUUUUCCAUUUUUUUCACAAUGCCAUACAGCUCUGCAUUUAAAUCUUCAAAAUUUGUCUUACAUCAUGAAAAUUUUCUCAGUAUAAAACAUAAAACCAGAAACAUGGUUUUACAGGCCUUGCCUCAAUUUCUGAUGCUGCCUCCUGUUCCUGGCAGCUGCCCACAGGGAGGGUUCACAGGUAGGGACCAAAGUAGGGCUAAGCACGAGCCACCUUAAUGCAACCUUGGAUCUGAGA